rnacentral:rRNA from 1 species
ACGAACGCUGGCGGCGUGCUUAACACAUGCAAGUCGAACGAUGAAGCCCAGCUUGCUGGGUGGAUUAGUGGCGAACGGGUGAGUAACACGUGAGCAAUCUGCCCUUGACUCUGGGAUAAGCGCUGGAAACGGCGUCUAAUACCGGAUACGAACUUCAGCCGCAUGGCUAGGGGUUGGAAAGAUUUUUUGGUUGAGGAUGAGCUCGCGGCCUAUCAGCUUGUUGGUGAGGUAAUGGCUCACCAAGGCGACGACGGGUAGCCG